AAGUGCACGCCGCGCGGAGGACGAAGAGGCUGCACGCACAGCCGCUGCCGGGGGUCGGGGCCAAGUGCGCGCCUCGCCGAGGACGAAGAGGCUGGCGUGCCCGGUGGCUCGGCUAGCUCCCGGGUCCCGGCCCCGCCUGGAGGAUGCGGCUGUGGGGGAAUGGGAGCGGCCGGACCUCCCAGCCUGACAGUGCAUCAAGAGCUUUGCGGAGCCUACAGCCCGGAUGGGACGACUGAGGCCCUCCCGCUGGCGAGCUGGCCGAGGGCUCGUCCCUCUCCAGCUAAAGCGCCAGCUUACGAUACAGCCAAACUGCCGGCUCUCAUCGGCUGUGGGAGCAGGAGGCCCCCAGGGGUAAAUCCCGGAGCCUCGUCUCUGAAGCCUGGCGCUUGUGUCUCAGAAGAUGGAGUUCCUCUCUUGUGGCCCAGGCUGGAGUGCAAUAGCACCAUCUCGGCUCACUGCAACCUCUGCCUCCCAGGUUCAAGUGAUUCUCCUGCCUUAGCCUCCUGAGUAGCUAGGAUUACAGAUUUAUAGGAGCAUUGUGACUGGACCAAGGACAAAGAAGUUCCCAACCUCCUCAGACCCUCGCUGCUGCCCAGAUGUCUGCCAUGGGGUACUUCUUGACCACACCCUCCUUCUCUUCCCUGCCCUUAACAUAGAAAGAGCCUAAGAUUGUACUGACUUAAAAUGGUACUUUAGAACGCUAGUACACCGUCCUCUCAGUCUUGCUGGCUUUCAGAAUAAAUCAGUAAACCUACUUUUUCUCCCACCAACGCCCCUAUCAGUUGGGAUCCUCUUACCUCGGCCUCCCAGGUAGCUGGGACUAUAAGCACUCACCACCACACACAGCUAAUUAAAAAGAAAACAAUUUUUUGAGGCAGGGUCUCACUCUGUCGCCAUGCUGGAAUGCUGUGGCAUGACUCGUUGCUCACUGCAGCCUCAAACUCCUGGGCUCAAGCAAUCCUCCCACCUUAGCCUCCCAAGUAGCUAGGACUAACAGCGUGCACCACCACACUCAGCUAAUUUCUUUUUUUUAAUUUUUAGUAGACACAAGAUCUUGCUAUGUUGCCAAGGCUGGUCUCGAACCUCUGAGCUCAGGCGAUCCUUCUGUCUCAGCCUCCCAAAGUGUUAGGAUUACAGGCAUGAACUACCAAACCCGGCUGAGUUUUUUAAAAUCUUAAUGAAUGCAUGGAUUUAAAUAUAUUAGCUGUGUUUUAAUCAAGUAUAGUUAUUGAAAUUCAAAUUAUUCGUCUUUGGUUAGGGAGAACUUCUUCAAGUUGGUUGUUCUUCAGUCCUUUUGACACAAUUCCAAUAUAUGAGUCUUGGUGGCUCAUACCUGUAAUCCCAGCACUUUGGAAGGCUGAAUGGGGAAGACUGAUUGAGGCCAGGAGUUUAAGACCAGCCUGGUCAACAUGGCAAGAUCCCUAUGUCUAUUAAAAAAAUAAUUUUAAAAAAGCAAUUACAGUAGCCUGUGAUAGCUUCUUUGCUGUUUGGUAUGAAAAGAUAUUUCUUUUCUUUUUCCUUUUUUUUUUUUGAGAUGGAGUUUCGCUCUUACUGCCCAGGCUGGAGUGCAAUGGUGCAAUCUCGGCUCACUGCAACCUCUGCCUCCCGGGUGCAAGCAAUUCUCCUGCCUCAGCCUCCCAAGUAGCUGGGAUUAUGGGAGUGUGCCACCACGCCCAGCUAAUUUUUGUAUUUUUAGU
ensembl:lncRNA RELA-DT RELA divergent transcript